rnacentral:rRNA from 1 species
ACGGCUCAGUAACACGUGGAUAACCUGCCCUUGGGUCCGGCAUAACCCCGGGAAACUGGGGAUAAUUCCGGAUAACGCACAUAUGCUGGAAUGCUUUAUGCGUAAAAUGGAUUCGUCUGCCCAAGGAUGGGUCUGCGGCCUAUCAGGUAGUAGUGGGUGUAAUGUACCUACUAGCCUACGACGGGUACGGGUCGUGAGAGCGAGAGCCCGGAGAUGGAUUCUGAGACACGAAUCCAGGCCCUACGGGGUGCAGCAGGCGCGAAAACUUUACAAUGCUGGCAACAGCGAUAAGGGGACCUCGAGUGCCAGGAUACAAUCUUGGCUGUCGUAAUGCCUAAAAAGCAUUAUAUAGCAAGGGCCGGGCAAGACCGGUGCCAGCCGCCGCGGUAACACCGGCGGCUCGAGUGGUAACCACUAUUAUUGGGUCUAAAGGGUCUGUAGCCGGCCGGAUAAGUCUCUUGGGAAAUCCAGCUGCUCAACAGUUGGGCUUUCAGGAGAUACUGUUCGGCUCGAGGCCGGGAGAGGUGAGAGGUACUUCAGGGGUAGGGGUGAAAUCUUGUAAUCCUUGAAGGACCACCAGUGGCGAAGGCGUCUCACCAGAACGGACCUGACGGCAAGGGACGAAAGCUAGGGGCACGAACCGGAUUAGAUACCCGGGUAGUCCUAGCCGUAAACGAUACUCGCUAGGUGUCAGCCACGGUGCGACCGUGGUUGGUGCCGUAGGGAAGCCGUGAAGCGAGCCACCUGGGAAGUACGGCCGCAAGGCUGAAACUUAAAGGAAUUGGCGGGGGAG